rnacentral:rRNA from 1 species
UACGUAGGGGGCUAGCGUUGUCCGGAUUUAUUGGGCGUAAAGAGCUCGUAGGUGGUUCGGUAAGUCGGAUGUGAAAUCUCCAGGCUCAACCUGGAGGGGUCAUUCGAUACUGCCGUGACUAGAGUUCGGUAGAGGAGUGUGGAAUUCCUGGUGGAGCGGUGAAAUGCGCAGAGAUCAGGAGGAACACCGGUAGCGAAGGCGGCACUCUGGGCCGAUACUGACACUGAGGAGCGAAAGCGUGGGGAGCGAACAGG